rnacentral:rRNA from 1 species
GAUGAACGCUGGCGGUGUGCCUAAUACAUGCAAGUCGAGCGAAUGACGAGGAGCUUGCUCCUCUGAUUUAGCGGCGGACGGGUGAGUAACACGUGGGUAACCUGCCUGUAAGACGGGGAUAACUCCGGGAAACCGGAGCUAAUACCGGAUGAUAACGAGAAGCGCCUGCUUCUUUUUUGAAAGUCGGUUUCGGCUGACGCUUACAGAUGGGCCCGCGGCGCAUUAGCUAGUUGGGGAGGUAACGGCUCACCAAGGCGACGAUGCGUAGCCGACCUGAGAGGGUGAUCGGCCACACUGGGACUGAGACACGGCCCAGACUCCUACGGGAGGCAGCAGUAGGGAAUCUUCGGCAAUGGACGAAAGUCUGACCGAGCAACGCCGCGUGAGCGAUGAAGGCCUUCGGGUCGUAAUGCUCUGUUGACAGAGAAGAACAAGUACCGGAGUAACUGCCGGUACCUUUACGGUACCUGACCAGAAAGCCACGGCUAACUACGUGCCAGCCGCCGCCGUAAAAC